rnacentral:rRNA from 1 species
CNAUUGCGAAGGCAGCUUGCUGGACUGUAACUGACGCUGAGGCACGAAAGCGUGGGGAUCAAACAGGAUUAGAUACCCUGGUAGUCCACGCCGUAAACGAUGAAUGCUAGCUGUUAGCGAUAUACUGUUAGCGGCACAGAGAAAUCGUUAAGCAUUCCACCUGGGGAGUACGCCGGCAACGGUGAAACUCAAAGGAAUUGACGGGGGCCCGCACAAGCGGAGGAACAUGUGGUUUAAUUCGAUGAUACGCGAGGAACCUUACCUGGGCUUAAAUUGCAGUGGAAUAACGUGGAAACAUGUUAGCCUUCGGGCCGCUGUGAAGGUGCUGCAUGGUUGUCGUCAGCUCGUGCCGUGAGGUGUCGGCUUAAGUGCCAUAACGAGCGCAACCCUCAUCGAUAGUUACUAACAGGUUAAGCUGAGGACUCUAUCGAGACUGCCGACGUAAGUCGUGAGGAAGGUGGGGAUGACGUCAAAUCAGCACGGCCCUUACGUCCAGGGCUACACACGUGUUACAAUGGGGGGUACAAAGGGCAGCUACCUGGCGACAGGAUGCUAAUCUCAAAAACCUCUCUCAGUUCGGAUUGGAGUCUGCAACCCGACUCCAUGAAGCUGGAUUCGCUAGUAAUCGCGCAUCAGCCACGGCGCGGUGAAUACGUUCCCGGGCCUUGUACACACCGCCCGUCAAGCCAUGGGAGCCGGGGGGACCUGAAGUAUGCAACCGUAAGGAGCGUCCUAGGGUAAAACUGGUGACUGGGGCU